AACAUAGUGUAGUUAAUUCACCAACAAUACAAGCCACAAACACACAACAUACUUCAUACUUAAAACACAAAGGUAAACAACUCUUCAUAACAAAAACAAUGGAAACCAAGGUUGGGUUCAAGAGAAUCAUAGUAGCACUCUUUUUCAUCCUUGCAACAGUGAUGCUGCAAGUCCUUGCUGUGAAAGCUCAACAAGAGAAUCCAGUGUGCGAAGAGCACCUUGGACAUCCAUGCACUCCUGGUGUUAGAGAAUGUUGUGCUAACACUGGACGCCAAUGCGUAUCCGCACCAUCUUUGAACGGUUUCCGGUGUAUGUAAAACCGUCAUCGAUCACCACCACCUGCAACAUUAACGACAACCUAGUCUACUGUUUUAUUAUAAUGUCUUUCUUUUUAGUUAAUCGUACUUUACUUAAGGUUGAUAUUUAUAUUAGCCUAUUUAAGUGUUUCUGUAUGUACUUUGAUUUCUUGUUGGGUGGUGAGUUUCUGGUCUAUCUUUGCCAAUGAUGGUAUGGAUAAAAAUGGUUGUCUUGUGCUAUAAAUAAAGAUUAUCAUUUUCUAUUUUC